AAGCGAACCAGGGGAACUGAAACAUCUAAGUACCCUGAGGAAAAGAAAUCAACCGAGAUUCCCCUAGUAGCGGCGAGCGAACGGGGAGCAGCCCAGAACCUUAAUCAGCGUAUGUGUCAGAGGAACGGUCUGGAAAGUCCGGCGAUACAGGGUGAUAGCCCCGUACUUGAAAAUGCAUAUGCUGUGAGUUCGAUGAGUAGGGCGGGACACGUGACAUCCUGUCUGAAUAUGGGGGGACCAUCCUCCAAGGCUAAAUACUCCUGACUGACCGAUAGUGAACCAGUACCGUGAGGGAAAGGCGAAAAGAACCCCGGCGAGGGGAGUGAAAUAGAACCUGAAACCGUGUACGUACAAGCAGUGGGAGCCUCUUUAUGGGGUGACUGCGUACCUUUUGUAUAAUGGGUCAGCGACUUAUAUUUUGUAGCAAGGUUAACCGAAUAGGGGAGCCGUAGGGAAACCGAGUCUUAACUGGGCGUCAAGUUGCA
rnacentral:rRNA from 1 species